GCGUCAGAGAGAGGGAUGCUGGGAACAGCCCGGAGAGAGCUGCUCCGCUCAGGGAACCACGACCUGUCACUCCCUGUCCACCGAGGCCUGAUUCAGAAUUUUCCGUGUGAAAAGGGACAAUCCCGAGAUGUUACAGAGCUGGACGCUACAGACAACAACUGUUAUUAAUUAUUGGAGAAGUUUAGGUCUGAUGGAUUUUUAAUCUCAUUCAAAGUCUACACCGUCUGUGGAGAGCCGGUGAAAUGCUUUGUUGUUCCAUCCAAAUCCCCGACGGCCGCUGUCGAACCUCCAGCGCACGGCCCAAACCGGCGUCACCUCUGCAGUUAACUGAGCAAAUAUUACAGGAUCCAUUUGCACAGGGAUGCGCUCCGGCAGGUCCAGCCCGCUCGCCGCGUGUUUGCUCAUCCCGGGGGAGCCCAUCCGGCACUUUGAAUGCUUCCCCCACACAACACCUCUAACCGAGCAGGAGCAAUCUGAUCCCCCAGCUGGAGUGAUAUAAGAGCACCCAUUCCUACCGGCUGAGAAAAGAGAGAGACUACCAUGAGGAUUUGGGAUGGGAAGAUGGGGGAGGUGAGGGUUAAGGGAGAUGGAACCUCAGGGAGAUCCAAAAUCAGGGAUCAACUCAACUACAAAAAGCUGAACAGCCAAGUAACAAAUGGGCAAAGGGUCUGAUAGACACUUCUCCGGAGGAGCUCUCCAGAUGGCCCACGGGCUCGUCGAAGACACUCAGCAUCGUGAGUUGUCAGGGAGAUGCAAGUCAAAGCCACAAGGGGCCACCACUUCACCCCCACUGGGAAGGCCACAAUCAGCGCCAUGAGAAGUAAGGGGUGACAAGGACGUGGAGAAAUCGGGACCCUCAUACAUGCUGGUGGGAGCGUAAAUGGGGCAGCUGCUGGAAAACAGUCUGGUUCCUCCUCAAAAACUGAACCCAGAGUUAUCCUCCGACCCCGGAAUUCCACUCCGAGGCGUACACUUAUGAGAAAUGGAAACAUACGCCACGCAAAAACUUGGCCACAAACGUUCCUCCCGGCAGUAUUUGUUUCGAAUAGCCAAGAAGUAAAAAGAGCCCAAGGGUACGUCAACAGGUUCCUGGACCUCCACACAAUGAGCAUCGUGAGCUGGAGAAAAGCAUGCGGUACUGACACACCGUCCAACGCGGAUGAACCUUGAAAACGUAAGUGAAAGACGCCGGACACAAGAGGCCACGUGUCACAUGACCCCAUUUACCUGAAAUGUCUUCAAGAUGGGAAAUAGAUUACUGUUUAUCAAGAGCUGAGGACGGGGAGAAAUGGGGGCGCUGAGUGCUUAACAUAGUGGGAUUUCUUUUGGGGAAGACGAAGAUGUUCUGGAAACAGACAUAAUGGUGGCAUAACACUGUGAUUGCACCAAAGGCCCUUGAACUAUAUACUUUAAAAUGGCUGAAAUAGUGAAUAUCGUGUCAUAUGAACGUUACCUUAGUAACAACCUACAAACAGGGGCUGUGCUCAUCACUCUCAUCACUCAGGAUUUGCAGAGGGCCCAGUGCAAAAUGAGAAAACAAGAACCCUUGUCCAGAAGUUAUUAAGAAUUUCAAGGUGCUGCAGGGAGCAUUGCCGGAGCUCGGGCCCCGGGGUGUGGGCACAGGUCACACCUGCACGUGGGAGCAGGUGCCAGUCCUGGGAGCACCUGGGGCCUCGGACCUAGAGCCAGGAUGCCUCAGCUCCUCAGCCACAUGGCUCUCCUACAGCAGCUCAUGUCUGCCCUUCUGGGGCCCCCACGCUGCUGCUCUUGGGGCUUACGCUAGCUUGUCUCUCUUUGGUUCCCUCACUGUCAUCUCCCCCUGCUACUUCGGGUUCUCUUUGUGCUGCCACAUUCACAUCCCUAAGGCAGGGAUCUGAUGGGCCAGCUCACCCGGGGGCUGGUGGCCGUGUAUGUGGCACUGUCCCCAGCAGCUUCCUUCAGCUGUAUCAGGGAUGGGGACCCCGUCGUCCAAAGCCUGAGUGAGGCUCCUUCAGCACAACUUGGGGUGGGACCAUAUCCCGCUGUCAGGAUGGGGACCCAUGUGAAACAUCUGUUCUACCCAAGGUAUCACUGUCACGUUGAGCUUUAUCUAGCAGAGAAAAGGCGCCCCAUCUCUUGGAUUCCAGGCAACUCUGUGCUGUGCUUGAGUCUGGAAACCCAGUGUGAUCGCCUGUGGGUGACAGGAAGAUCCCCAUCAGAGCUACCUCCCUGGAGCCAGGCGCCAGUGACCAACUGGCCACCCCAUUUCCAUCCCCAGGUGCCAACGAUCUCUCACACCAGCUGUGCUUCAGUGCAGCCCUGGGCUGAGCCCAUUGUCUCUCUGAAGGGGAUCUCCCAGGAUCGGGGGGCAAGGAGGCCAGGGGAAGGAAGCCAAGCCCACACCUCCUGGGGAGGCUGCAAGUUGCAGCACAUACAUCCCAAGCCCUCGCUGUGACCCCUGCCCUCUGUCCUGGGGCCACAGCUCGUCUUCCCAGCACUGGCUUCCUGGGUCGCUGGAGCUAGUUUUCCAGCCUUGCAGCUUUCCUGCCAGUCCCCACCCGACUGAUCCAACCCUGCUAGUGGCCACCUGACACUCACGCCAUGAUUGCCCAUCUGGACGGUGACCACAGCCAACUGACUGGUGAGAGAACACAGAGAACCUAUUUUAUACCCAGAUGGGACUUUGGAGGCCAUCCUUGGUCCUUCAUUAUUUUUUUAAAAUUUUAGAUAAUUUACUUUUCCAAUUACAAGAAAAUAUUAUUUUUUAAAAAAGAUUCUAUUUAUUUAUUCAUGAGAGACACACAGAGAGAGGCAGAGACAUAGGCAGAGGGAGAAGCAGGCUCCAUGCAGGGAGCCUGUUGCAGGACUCGAUCCCAGGACCCGGGGAUCAUGCCCUGAGCCAAAGGCAGAUGCUCAACCACUGAGCCACCCAGGUGCCCCUACAAGAAAAUAUUCUUAGAUGAAACCUCUAAGGCAGUGGUUCUCAAGAGGCGCUGUCUCUCUAGAGACUUUUGGCGUUAUCUAGAGACUUUCUAGUUGUCGCAACAGGGGCAUAAGAGGAGAUACUACUGGUUUCUAGUGAGCAGAGGACAGGGGUGUCGCUACGUCCUACAAUAUACAGGACAGCCUUCUGAACAAAGAAUCAUUUGGCUCAAAACGCCAAUACUGUUGAGAUUGAGAAAACCUGCACUAAAGUCAUGAAAAUUUUUAAAUUGAACAGAUAAUUAUAACCAUGUGUUUAAACUUUAAAUAGCAUCUCAACUGACUGAUACAGAUGAUGAGUUUACAUUCUCUUACUUUUGUACAAUGUAUAGUUUUAUUAUUUUUAUAUCUUAUAAAAUACAAUUUAUUUUGGGGGCCCCUGGGUGGCUCAGUCAGCUAAGGGUCUGCGUUUGGCUCAGAUCAUGAUCCCAGGGUCCCGGGAUGGAGCCCCACGUCGGGGUCCCUGCUCUGCGGGGAGCGUGCUUCUGCCUCUGCCCGCUUCUCCCCCUUGCUUGUGCGCUCUCUCUCUCUCUGUCAAAUAAAUAAAUAAAAUCUUUAAAAUAUAUAUAUGUAUAUCCAAUUUAUUUUUAAAUCAUAAUACUCAUCUCACAAUGUUCCCAAAAUUCUUUAAUCCUGGCUCUAAAUUUAGAUGACUUGAAUAUGGCCCCUUACUUUAACAUAUGCUCCUGUUUCACUCAUUUUUUUUUCCAGAGUGGAGAUUUUGUCACCAGAUGUUCUGUUUUACUACCUUCUGGAGGAGGUAUUUUCAUCCAUAAACUCGUAUUCACUUUGCACUGAUCACCUUCCUGAACUUACAUUUCGGAGAUAAACUUAGGACGAUAUAAUCGGCAGUAGUCAAAGUGGAGCAUUCUUUUCUUUAAAUAAAUAUUUCUUAAAAUAAAAAUUUUGUCUUGUUGCAAAGUAAUAAAUAUUCAUUGCAGAGAAAAGCAAAAAGAUGCUGAGAACCGAAUAGUACAAUAUGAAAAUGAUUCUCUUGAGAUCACUGCUGUCAAUGUAUGUACAGUAUUACUCUCUAUGCAUAUAUGUACUCAAAAAAUGAAUUAGGGUUUAUAAUGAACACCUUACUAGUGUGUAACCUGCUUUUUUUCAGCUAACAAUAUACAAGAACUUCUACCUGUGGUGCUGACUAUUCACCUAUAUUAUUUAUAUACAUAAUCAUAUGUACAUGUAAAUGACAAAGUGUAUAUGAAUAAUAUACACAUGUAUGUUCUCCUAUAUAUUAUGUCUCCACUAUAUUAUUUUAACAAUCACAUAACAUUAAAGGUAGUGUCACGUC
rnacentral:lncRNA from 1 species